UGCUAGGUAACGGGCGGAACUCUGCUGGGGUUGCUAGGUAACGGGCAGUGCCUGCUGAUUUGUGAUUUACAUGCCUGUGAACUAUUAUUCACAAAAUACCUACAAAAAUAGUAAAUGAACUGAACUUGUAUAGCUCUUCACUCUGGAGACACUUUCACCCACAAAACGCAGAUCAGUUUGCAACUUGGGGAGAGAAUAAAAAAUUUAAUUACUGCACUGCAAAAACACAAAAUUUUACCAAGUAAUUUUGUUCUAGUUUCUGGAGAAAAUAUCUUAAUACAUUAGAAACAAGACAAAAUAACUCUACAACAACUUUGUAGCAAGAUAUUGGAGGUUCAUCUAUCCAUCGAUCCAUUUUCUAACACCUUUCUCCCCGGGGGGUCGGGAGGUGAGCUGGUGCCUAUCUCGUCUACAGAAGAAGCGGUUUGCAGAAACGUGUCGCUAUCCGUUUCGUUAAGUUUAUUUGUGUUGAACAUUUCAGUACUAAGGCGGUUCAAAGCGCUUUAAGGCAUAAAAACGUUGUUCAGGUGACAGAAGGCCGACUUUGUAAUUGUCUUUAUGUGACUCUAAAGGUUCCUGAAGCAGAAGUAAGUGGAUUUUUAAAUUUUUAACAAGAAUGUUAAUAGUUGUGAAGGCCACUGUAAGCUGACAACACCGUGAAUAUAUGAUUGAGGUUUUUCACCUUUUUCUAAACAUCAAGACUAUUGCUGGACAAUUUAAACAUAGGAAAAUUGCUGUGAAGAAAGAAUGUUUUAUGCUUUUUAUUUGAAGAUUAUACUUGAAGCGUUGAUUUGAAGAGGUUGAGGGGCAAAACGUACGUAGUUCAGAGGGUUUUACAGCGAGCAGAUCCGUCUGUGAGGCGUUUUGUCAUCAAUUCUUGUCACGUCUCCAGUUGCUUUAAUGUGUUUUCUUUAUGUGUUCUGUUUGUCAACUCGAGGCCACUUUCUUCCCGCAUAUGAGACGAUCUGCUGCGUAUUAUCGCCUCCUUGCUCUGCGAGUAUCUCGCUGCGGGAGCGACAGGCAGAGUGGAUGUUGACAUAUUCCUCGGCUGAUUUAAUGACCUGUUUAAUUCUGGCACGUCUGCAGCCCCCUCAGAUGUUUAGCAGUUUUAAUUAGCCUAAUCGUCGCUCUUGAAAAAGGCCACAGGGUUGUUUAAUGGGUCAUGUUUGUCAAGAUGCACAGAAUUAUAACACAAAAGACAUGCCAUUUAUUCAGCGCUACAGUCUUCCAGUCAUUAUGGGUGUCACAAUUGAUAAUUAGAGGAAGAAUUGAUUCAUCUGAAAGCUAAAUUGAACCUCUGCGGUGUGAGGAAAUUAGUUUGACAGUGUUUGGAUGAGUGUUGUUUACGAGAGCAGAAAACCACCAGUAAACUCGUCGCUCCGUUUCGGGACGAGAGAUUCGCACGAGAGGGAAUUAGGUCAGUUAUAAAUUAAUAAAAACUUUUAUAACGCACUACUUAAUGUAGGUUUUCAAAACUGCUUGGAAAGCAUCAAUGUUAUCACGCAGAAUAACGCAAAAGAACAAAAUAAUUUAAAUGAACUUUCAAUUAAUUUUGGCUUCCUUUGCUAUCAGGGAAUAAAAACAUUCCCACACAUAAAUAUGCUGAGCAUGCACUCAUUUCAUAUUCAUCUUCAUUCUACAAAGCACACAUGGCCAUUUCAUCCGAAUGAAUUAUUAACAGAGUUAAUGAAUAUUUCAGUUUUCUUUAUGGAGCCGUUUAACAGUCCCGGCAGAGGUAAUGGCGCUUUAAGAGAACCUGAGGAGAACGGAGAGAAACGGAAGAAAACGUCGUUUAGUUGACCAAUCAUCGGGUUAUGCAAAGAUAAAACAAUGACUUCAUCAAACUUCAUCUCCACAAAUUAGAGCAAAAACUCGCCGGCUUUUCUGUCUGAAACGACAAACAGAGAAUAAUCUACAGCGCAGGUGUCCAAAGUGUGGCCUGGGGGCCAUUUCUGGCCCUUGGAACAAUUUUCAGUGGCCCCUCAACUGCAAUUCAAGAUUGGUACAAAUUUGACCCUCCAAUGAGAAUUUAAAUUACAAAUUUAAUUAAAAAAUUCAUAACAGUGUUUUCUUCUGAUUUUAAUUGUAUGCUAAGUAUAAAAUUAAACUGACUCAAUUCUUUUAUCAAACUUGGUUAAUAGGUUUGUUGUCACUGGGAACAGAUUAAAAAAAAGUUCAGAACAAAUAAACUGAAAUUUCUUUUCCAAAAAGUUAGAAAAUUGCCUUUUAAUAAGACAAAAAUAUUGCAUAUAAAAUUUUUUCAUGAACUGCAGAAGAGGAACGGAGCCAGAGGGAAAAAUAUAAUAAUUAUGACAUUUGAUCUAAUUUAAUUAAAUUAAAGUUUGGUAUUUUCCUGAUCUCACCUGACCGGAAGAUUGAAGCCUAACCGAAAUGUUUUCCACUUGUGGACAGUUUGCUGUGCAGAUUGUCUCUCAUGCUGAUCGCAGGCGCUGCCAUGUUGGAGGUUUUAUGUUUGUGAACAUUAAUGUUUGUGAACGUUAACGUUAAUGUUUGUGAACGUUAAUGUUUGUGAACAUUAAUGUUUGUGAACGUUAAGGCUGCCAUGUUGGAGGUUUUGUGAACAUUAAUGUUUGUGAACGUUAACGUUAAUGUUUGUGAACGUUAAUGUUUGUGAACGUUAACGUUUGUGAACGUUAACGUUGCCAUGUUGGAGGUUUUGUGAACGUUAAUGUUUGUGAACGUUAAUGUUUGUGAACGUUAAUGUUUGUGAACGUUAACGUUGCCAUGUUGGAGGUUUUGUGAACGUUAAUGUUUGUGAACGUUAAUGCUGCCAUGUUGGAGGUUUUGUGAACACUAAUGUUUGUGAACGUUAAUGUUUGUGAACGUUAAUGUUUGUGAACGUUAAUGUUUGUGAACGUUAAUGUUUGUGAACGUUAAGGCUGCCAUGUUGGAGGUUUUGUGAACACUAAUGUUUGUGAACGUUAAUGUUUGUGAACGUUAAUGUUUGUGAACGUUAAUGUUUGUGAACGUUAAGGCUGCCAUGUUGGAGGUUUUGUGAACACUAAUGUUUGUGAACGUUAAUGUUUGUGAACGUUAAGGCUGCCAUGUUGGAGGUUUUGUGAACACUAAUGUUUGUGAAUGUUAAUGUUUGUGAACGUUAAGGCUGCCAUGUUGGAGGUUUUGUGAACACUAAUGUUUGUGAACGUUAAUGUUUGUGAACGUUAAUGUUUGUGAACGUUAAUGUUUGUGAACGUUAAGGCUGCCAUGUUGGAGGUUUUGUGAACACUAAUGUUUGUGAAUGUUAAUGUUUGUGAACGUUAAGGCUGCCAUGUUGGAGGUUUUGUGAACACUAAUGUUUGUGAACGUUAAUGUUUGUGAACGUUAAGGCUGCCAUGUUGGAGGUUUUGUCUGAAAGUUCAGGCAGGCCUGAUGAGCAGGGAGCCAAUUUGUGUCUAAACCCCAAGGAACUCUGAACUCUCCCAGCUAAUUCCCACCAUUCCAGCUCCUCCAGACCUCAGCUCCACACAAACAAUAGUGACACUUUGUUAAAAAAAAAUAGAAAGACUUUAACAUCUCUGCCAAGCAUAAUUCAUUCAUUUAGCAUUUGAAUGACAAUAGACCACUUAGCGGAGCUUAAAUUAUUUCCGUGCUCUAUCUGCUACUUGACUGCCUUUGUGUUGUAACUGCGGACGAUCAUUAACGCCAUGAGGUGAUGUGGAGCGCCUUUAUCUCCGGCUCGGCCCUCAGAGUUAACUUCAGGCACGAACUGCACGGCCGCUGCGGAAACUUCUUUUCUCCUCCUGUUCUUGGAUAAAUCUGAGUCGUGUCUUGCAAGAUUUAGGUGCAGCAGAAAGAGACAGAAAUUAAAGUUAAAGCCUACAGACGUGUUCCAUGUGAUUGUUUAUAUCUGGAAAUGUCACGCAUGCGCACAAACCUGGAGCAGAAAAAGCAGCGCUUUUUGUUGCAGCAGCGCUACAACAAUCCAGUUAACUAAGGAAAAACUUGGAGAUGAAGCCAUUACUGAUUUAGUGCAGUGAGCUGCAGCAAAGGGAAAAAUAACGCAGAAAACAACUCAAAACCAAUCGUAUUCUUCUUUUCCCCCCCAAACACGUUGCCAUAGCAACUGACAACAAUGCCACUUUAUGUUUCAGGGUUCAACACC